rnacentral:lncRNA from 1 species
GCAAAAUUAGUAUGCUGGCUUCCAAAUGAAAAAUCUAGUUAGGAUAUAUAUACUAUAUACCUAGCCAUGUUGGUUAUACUCAUUCAACCAGGUCAACCGAACUACAAUUCUUGUGACAAGUAUUUAAGUGACCAGACAGCUGUAGACACGAGGGCAUGUGCAUCCUCUCUUCACACGCUGAAAUUCUGUCAUACAACAUCUGAUAUGGUCGAUCAUAGGAAAAAUAUUUUCAAGUUGAAGGACAAACCCAAUGGGACCGAGACACUUCGCCACAAUGCCUCAUGUGCAGAGAAUGUCUGAGGGCUGAAGCUGAAAGCAGGAAACCUAUAGAAAUACUUAUCAUCUUUAACAAGUACUGGAAGGUAGUCUCACUUGGAUAACUGAAACCCUAAAUAUGUACCCUCAGGUCAGCUCUCUUGUUGACAAUUUCCUUAGUUCUAGUAAGUACUCUUAAUCAUGCACAUAUACAGGAGAUAUUCUCAGCAGCACAAGCCAUUAAGAACUCUGAUUUGCUCUUUUUUGCGGCCUUUAAUUAUGCCCGUCCAUGCCGGAUGAUCGAUCCAACCCUCUUUUUUCUUUUUCUCUCUAUUUUUUUCUUUUUUAUUUUUUAUUUUUUAUUUUUUGUUGACAGAAAUAUAGUAUUAGGUGUAAUUAGGGCUGAGCAAGUAACUAAAUUGGAACCGAAACCGUACUAAAUGAAACUGUACCGCACUUUUAAAACCGCACCGCACUAAUUACAAGCGAUUUCAAUGUGCAGUUUUUGAUUUAUCAAACCGCGCCUAAGCAAUUUUGGGUGCGAUUUCGACUUCAAACCGCACCAUCCUCAACCGUAGGUGUAAUUAUAAAUCAAAGAAGCUACGGUUUUAGAUGCUAUCCAGAUCCAGCAGGAAUAUGGAAUUUAGAUACAUGGAAAUCCGGAUGAGCAACAAAUACAAGUGGCUUUUUUCUGUACAAUGUAAUGUUGUGAUGAUUGCAAAACCUGUCACCACUAGAAAGGAAUCUGACUUGCAUUAUCUUAAUAGACAUAUUAUCUCUUCUCUAAUUUUAUGUGUGGGUCCAAGCAGGUCCGUGUUCUUAGUAGGGACAGAUUUUUUUAAGUUGAUAAUUAAAGUAAGUGUUAAAAUUUAAUGAGUUAAUGAGUGAGAGUUUGAAUACAUUAUACAUUCGUGUGUUUAGUUUUUUUUAUCGUAGUA